rnacentral:rRNA from 1 species
UUUUAUGAGAGUUUGAUCCUGGCUCAGGACGAACGCUGGCGGCGUGCCUAAUACAUGCAAGUCGAACGCUUCUUUUUCCAACGGAGCUUGCUCCACCGGAAAAAGAAGAGUGGCGAACGGGUGAGUAACACGUGGGUAACCUGCCCAUCAGAAGGGGAUAACACUUGGAAACAGGUGCUAAUACCGUAUAACAAUCRAAACCGCAUGGUUUUGAUUUGAAAGGCGCUUUCGGGUGUCGCUGAUGGAUGGACCCGCGGUGCAUUAGCUAGUUGGUGAGGUAACGGCUCACCAAGGCCACGAUGCAUAGCCGACCUGAGAGGGUGAUCGGCCACAUUGGGACUGAGACACGGCCCAAACUCCUACGGGAGGCAGCAGUAGGGAAUCUUCGGCAAUGGACGAAAGUCUGACCGAGCAACGCCGCGUGAGUGAAGAAGGUUUUCGGAUCGUAAAACUCUGUKGUUAGAGAAGAACAAGGAUGAGAGUAACUGUUCAUCCCUUGACGGUAUCUAACCAGAAAGCCACGGCUAACUACGUGCCAGCAGCCGCGGUAAUACGUAGGUGGCAAGCGUUGUCCGGAUUUAUUGGGCGUAAAGCGAGCGCAAGCGGUUUCUUAAGUCUGAUGUGAAAACCCCCGGCUCAACCGGGGAGGGUCAUUGGAAAC